AGAAUCUUCAAGCAAGUCCAGUUGCUCUCUUCAACCAACCACAGUUUACCAUGACCUGGAUGACUGAGAAUCGUCACAGACAUCUCAACUACAGAACAAAUUCUACAUUUUUCAUUAUUGUUAUUUGUCAAAUUUAUGAAUAAAUGUUAUUUUAUAUUAAUAGAUUUUUAAUGCUUUAAAACUUCAAAAUUAUUGAUGUCCCUGUGUUGACUGUCCCCCCUGUUACUCUGAUGGCUAUCCCUUUAAAUACAGUCCUCUAGUCACGUGAUCCCCAGGAAGUAGCAGAGGGAACUCUUCUGUAAGAGGCAGAUGAAUGACGCCACUGUCUGCUGCAGAAAAGCAACGGCGCUACAGGGCACGGCGUGAUGCAGACCCUGAAAAACGGGCAAAAUACCUAAAUAAAGAGAAAGAGAGGUGGAGAAGGGACACAGAAGAAGGAAGAAAAAGGAAAGUGUCAGACCUCAGUGAAAGAGAGAAGAGAGCACAGAGAAAGAAAUGGCGAGAAAAGAAGAGAAAGCAGAGGGAAAGCGUAAGAUCCAGGACAACCUUUCAGUUAACUCCUUUUUCAAGUCCACAAAGUCCCCCAGAGCCAGAAAAUGCUCCCCAACUUUUUUUUUGUAAAAGAUGAUGUUGAGAGGAAAGUCCAAGAAAUGAGAAAUGUGCCCCCACUUGUGCCAGUCAAAGGAACAAUGAAAAUCCACCAAGUCAUCAGUUUCUCUCCAGGGAAAAUUAAAUAUCGGGACAUAACUUGCCUUUGCCAGGCAGACAAAAGUGUUCUAGACUGUGCGCGCUAUGGGCUGAAGGAGGUGAGCCUGGGAGAAGAGGAAAGCCUGUAUUGUAUUGAUGAACCAUCACGGCCUGGGUCAUCAAGCGAGAAAAUAUUGGGCAAUGGUGCAUAGUGAACUAUGACGAUGAACCUUACCCAGGAAUCAUCAUGGAUGUUGAAGAAGAUAUAAAAGUGAACUGUAUGCAUAAGAAUGGAACCAACAAAUUCUACUGGCCAAGUCUGAGACAGGAUAUUAGCUGGUACAGGGAUGACCAGGUUGUGUGCCUCAUGAGAGCGCCACAACCUGUAAACAAAAGGUCUGUUGAGUUAGAUAAAAAGGUGUGGAAUUUCAUAGAAAAACAAAUGGGUUAAAGGUUCAAAUAUAAAACUGGUGUGUUCAUCAGUGUUCCUGAUGUUGAUGUUGGGUGUGCAUUAUGGUGUGGUGUGAUAAACUAACUGAAUUGCUUUUUAAAAAUUAAAUGCAUUUUUAUACUCUGUUGUAAUGUCCACCCUGUUACCCCUCUGUUUUUUUAUAUUAAUUAAAUAAAAUUGAAUAAUAUUU